rnacentral:rRNA from 1 species
GAGGCGGCCGCCCGCGCGGAGCAAUCCGCGGCGGGGUCGUGUCCGGUUGCCUUUCCACUCGCCGUGGGGCGGGGCCGUUCCAGCGUGCGGUGGGCCGCACUUCUCCCCUAGUAGGACGUCGCGACCCGCUGGGUGCCGGCCUACGGCCCGGGUGCGCAGCCUGUCCAUCCGCGGGCCUCGGUUCGCGCUUGUUGGGCAGAGCCCCGGUGUCCCGGCUGGCUGCUCGGCGGCAUGUCUGGAGGAGUCGAUUCGCCAAACUCGCUUUGGGCGCCCGUGCUCCUGGCAAGCGCGCGCGGUUCUUCCCGGGUGACGGUCCUACCUGGCCCGGCCCCGGACCCGCGCCGCUGUUGGCUUGGGAUGCUCUCGGGCGGAAUAAUCGCUCCCGUCAGCGGCGCUUCAGCUUUGGACAAUUUCACGACCCGUCUUGAAACACGGACCAAGGAGUCUAACAUGUGCGCGAGUCAUUGGGCUGCACGAAACCUAGAGGCGAAAUGAAAGUGAAGGUCUCGCCUUGCG